rnacentral:lncRNA from 13 species
ACGGCUACCAACAAUGGCUUCAGCAGGAAGGUAUUGAUGGUGUUGGGACCACGCCAUCCACAGAACAACAGAGCACUAAUACAGAGAGCAGAACUCCAGUCCUAUUCAUUCUGAUACCGAUCGUCCAGCCUUAGAGGGGACAGCCCUCCUAGUCAUUCUGAUACCGAUCGUUCAGCCUUGGAGAGGACAGCCCUCCUAGUCAUUCUGAUACCGAUCGUUCAGCCUUGACGAGGACAGCCCUCCUAGUCAUUCUGAUACCGAUCGUUCAGCCUUGGAGAGGACAGCCCUCCUAGUCAUUCUGAUACCGAUCGUUCAGCCUUGGAGAGGACAGCCCUCCUAGUCAUUCUGAUACCGAUCGUUCAGCCUUGACGACGACAGCCCUAGUCAUUNNNNNNNNNNCUCCCGGGUGAUUGGAGGGGGAGCGUCUGUCGUUCUCCCGGGUGAUUGGAGGGGGAGCGUCUGUUGUUCUCCCGGGUGAUUGGAGGGGAGCGCCUGUUGUACUCCCGGGUGAUUGGAGGGGAGCGCCUGUUGUACUCCCGGGUGAUUGGAGAGGAGCGCCUGUUGUUCUCUUUAUGUUCAUCCUAGCUUUGUUUUCCCUGUUUAUCUUCUUUUGAAAAAAAGGUUUCUCCCUGUCCUUUACUUUUCAUUUUAUCUUAAGUUCAUGACGUCUUCUGUAGUUUUCAUCCCCUCCCACCCCUGGUUCAGAUCCCGUCAGGCGGAGACAGAGAGGGACCAGGCAGGGGAGGAUAAUAGAAUGUUCAAACAGGAGUUUGGAGAGAAGAUAGACGCUCUACAGCUGGAGGUGGAACAUCUCAGGAAACACAGGUCAUGUUUGGAGCUGGAGCUGAGGAAAGGGAGGGGUAGUGGUGGAGGUAGCCAGUAUAUAGAGCCUGUGUCUGGGGAGAAGUUGACCUCGGCCCCCCAGAGAGACCUGGAAGACAUCCGGAAGGAACUGGAGGCAGUGAAGAAGGAGAAUCAUCAACUAUGUGCUGUGGUAGAUGACACGAGCGGUCCAGGGUCCAACAUGUCAAUGUCACAAAAUGAGGAUGAGCAGGGAGGAGGAGCCAAAGAUGGAGAGAAGAAGAAGAAGAAGGCUGCAGCGGGAGACGCUGGUGGGAAGACGGAGCUGUCCCCUCCUCCCGGGUACAUGGAGGAGCGUCUGUCCCUGUACACUAAACUGAAGGAGGAGCAUGAUGCUCUGAUGGCAGAGAGGGCAGAGAAGGACAGUAAAUCCAUCAAGGUGACUCUGCCAGAUGGGAAGGUGGUGGAGGCUGAGUCCUGGAAGACCACACCCUACCAGGUGGCUGCUGGCAUCAGUCAGGGUCUAGCUGACGCCACAGUGAUAGCUAAGGUGAACAACUCUGUGUGGGACCUGGACCGACCUCUAGAGGAAAACUGCAGUCUGCAGCUGCUCAAGUUUGAUGACGACGAGGCUAAAGCUGUGUACUGGCACUCCAGUGCCCACAUAAUGGGUGAGGCAAUGGAGAGGGUCUACGGAGGCUGCUUGUGUUACGGUCCGCCCAUCGAGAACGGCUUCUACUACGACAUGUUCCUGGACCAAGAGGGGGUGUCCAGUAAUGACUUCCCCUGCUUGGAGAACUUGUGUAAGAAGAUCAUCAAGGAGAAGCAGCCCUUCGAGAGGCUGGAGAUCAAGAAGGAGACUCUCCUGGAGAUGUUCAAGUACAACAAAUUUAAGUGCCGGAUCUUGAAUGAGAAGGUGACCACCCCAACCACUACUGUGUACAGGUGUGGUCCGCUGAUUGACCUGUGCCGAGGACCCCAUGUCCGACACACUGGAAAGAUCAAGGCCCUGAAGAUCCACAAGAACUCCUCUACCUACUGGGAGGGCAAGGCUGACAUGGAGACUCUUCAGAGGAUCUACGGCAUCUCCUUCCCUGAUCCUAAGAUGCUAAAGGAGUGGGAACGCUUCCAGGAGGAGGCCAAGAACAGGGACCACCGCAAACUGGGACGGGUACGGGACUGUUAUUCAAAUCACUCAAAUGGUAUUUGUCAAAUUGAAAUGCUUAUUUACAGACACUUCCCAACAAUGAAAAUUGUGUGGUGUUGUCUUUUCCUCAACCUCCAGAUUGAGGAGGAGAUUAAGGGUUGUCUGGACUUCCUGCGUACAGUCUACGACUGUUUUGGUUUCUCCUUCAAACUCAACCUGUCCACCCGGCCUGAGAAGUUCCUGGGAGAGCCUGCGGUCUGGGAUCAGGCUGAGAAGCAACUGGAGAACAGUCUGAAUGAGUUUGGCGAGAAGUGGGUCCUCAACCCUGGAGACGGGGCCUUCUACGGACCGAAGAUUGACAUCCAGAUCAAGGAUGCUAUUGGUCGAUACCACCAGUGUGCCACCAUCCAGCUGGACUUCCAGCUACCAAUCCGCUUCAACCUCACCUUUGUCAGCCAUGAUGGAGACGAUAAGCAGAGGCCAGUCAUCAUCCACAGAGCCAUCCUGGGAUCAGUAGAGAGGAUGAUCGCUAUCCUCACUGAGAACUACGGAGGGAAAUGGCCGCUGUGGCUGUCUCCUCGUCAGGUGAUGGUGGUACCUGUAGGACCCACACUGGAUGACUAUGCUCAGAAGAUCCUUGUGGGAGAGAAGGAGAAGACCAGCGAGACGGUGAACGUGCGUACUCGUGACAACAAGGUGCACGGAGAACGCAGCGUCAAUGAGUGUAUGGAGCGUCUCAAACAGCUGAAGGCCUCACGCAGCCGCAACGCGGAGGAGGAAUUCUGA